AGUGAACGCUGGCGGUAGGCCUAACACAUGCAAGUCGAACGGCAGCACAGUAAGAGCUUGCUCUUACGGGUGGCGAGUGGCGGACGGGUGAGGAAUACAUCGGAAUCUACUUUUUCGUGGGGGAUAACGUAGGGAAACUUACGCUAAUACCGCAUACGACCUACGGGUGAAAGCAGGGGAUCUUCGGACCUUGCGCGAUUGAAUGAGCCGAUGUCGGAUUAGCUAGUUGGCGGGGUAAAGGCCCACCAAGGCGACGAUCCGUAGCUGGUCUGAGAGGAUGAUCAGCCACAUUGGAACUGGGACACGGUCCAGACUCCUACGGGAGGCAGCAGUGGGGAAUAUUGGACAAUGGGCGCAAGCUGAUCCAGCCAUACCGCGUGGGUGAAGAAGGCCUUCGGGUUGUAAAGCCCUUUUGUUGGGAAAGAAAAGCAGCAGGUUAAUACCCCGCUGUUCUGACGGUACCCAAAGAAUAAGCACCGGCUAACUUCGUG
rnacentral:rRNA from 1 species